rnacentral:rRNA from 1 species
AUUGAACGCUGGCGGUAGGCCUAACACAUGCAAGUCGAGCGGAUGAGAGGAGCUUGCUCCUCGAUUCAGCGGCGGACGGGUGAGUAAUGCCUAGGAAUCUGCCUAGUAGUGGGGGACAACGUUUCGAAAGGAACGCUAAUACCGCAUACGUCCUACGGGAGAAAGUGGGGGAUCUUCGGACCUCACGCUAUUAGAUGAGCCUAGGUCGGAUUAGCUAGUUGGUAGGGUAAAGGCCUACCAAGGCGACGAUCCGUCACUGGUCUGAGAGGAUGAUCAGUCACACUGGAACGGAGACACGGUCCAGACUCCUACGGGAGGCAGCAGUGGGGAAUAUAGGACAAUGGGCGAAAGCCUGAUCCAGCCAUGCCGCGUGUGUGAAGAAGGCCUUCGGGUCGUAAAGCACUUUAAGUUGGGAGGAAGGGCUCAUAGCGAAUACCUGUGAGUUUUGACGUUACCAACAGAAUAAGCACCGGCUAACUUCGUGCCAGCAGCCGCCGUAAGAC